rnacentral:lncRNA from 1 species
CUUGGGGGCAGGGCACCGAGUCCACGCUGUCCCUGCUUAGAUUUCCCCUCCCGUGUCUGGGGAAAGACUUACCAUCAUUUUCACUUUGGAUCGAGGGCAGGGAACACAGUGCAGCGUGCAGCGGACCCGGCCACGGUGACCACAACCAUGUCCCCAUCAGAUGGGAAAACUGAAGACGAGCAAUCACCCAGUCCCUGCGGGUUUGCAGCGCGUGGUCCUCGUCACUGGCUCCUCGUGCCCUGUCUGCUGCUUAGGUUGACGGUGCUCUGUGCUCCACGGGAUUUUUAGAUCCUUAAUUCACUCCUGCAUGCWGAGGCUGCAGGCCAGGCCCAGCUGCCCCCACACAGACUCCAAGAGCGAAGGGGCCUGGUGUCCAGGCUGCCCACGUGGCCUUGUCUUGUUGGUCUGCUUGUCCUCAGGUUCAAAACUUCAGGUCAAGACUUUUUAAACAGCCCUCCAGGGGCCUCUCACCGUCUCCCCGGGGCCACUGUGAGUGUGUCUGUGCUGUGCUGCAGCCGGGCCUCGCCUCGCUGGUUCAAUAAACCCUGCCAGGCCCCCCACCUGGCUGGGCCAUGGACACCCCUCUCCAUGUCCUGCGUGUGGACUACACAGGACACCUCUGGUCCCUCAACAAGGACACGGUCUCCUUCUUCUGUGUUCCUGACCUUUAGCACAUAGUAGGUACUCAAUAAAUGCAUUGAAU